GACAGAGGUGCCAAGCGUUAGGCGGAAUCACUGGGCUUAAAGCGUGUGUAGGCGGAUGUCUAAGUACCUUGUGAAAUCCCACGGCUCAACCGUGGAACUGCUUGGUAUACUGGAUGUCUUGAGCCACUUAGGGGUUACCGGAACAAAUGGUGGAGCGGUGAAAUGCGUAGAUAUCAUUUGGAACGCCAAUGGUGAAAACAGGUAACUGGGAGUGUGCUGACGCUGAGACACGAAAGCUAGGGGAGCAAACGGG
rnacentral:rRNA from 1 species